GACGAACGCUGGCGGCGUGCCUAAUGCAUGCAAGUCGCACGCAGCGCACUUCGGUGGGCUGAGUGGCGCACGGCUGAGGAACACGUGGGCAUCUGCCCCACCGUGGGGGAUAACGCGCCGAAAGGCGCGCUAAUCCCGCAUACGCUCGACCUUCGGUCGAGGAAGACGGCAACGCGCGGUGGGAGGAGCCUGCGGCCCACUCAGGUCGUUGGUGUGGUAACGGCGCACCAAGCCGAUGACGGGUAGCUGGUCUGUGAGGACAACCAGCCAGACUGGGACUGAGACACGGCCCAGACUCCUACGGGAGGCAGCAGCAAGGAAUUUUCCCCAACUGGGCGCAAGCCUGAGGGAGCAACGCCGCGUGCGGGA
rnacentral:rRNA from 1 species